GACGAACGCUGGCGGCGUGCUUAACACAUGCAAGUCGAACGGAAAGGCCCUGCUUUUGUGGGGUGCUCGAGUGGCGAACGGGUGAGUAACACGUGAGUAACCUGCCCUUGACUUUGGGAUAACUUCAGGAAACUGGGGCUAAUACCGGAUAGGAGCUCCUGCUGCAUGGUGGGGGUUGGAAAGUUUCGGCGGUUGGGGAUGGACUCGCGGCUUAUCAGCUUGUUGGUGGGGUAGUGGCUUACCAAGGCUGUGACGGGUAGCCGGCCUGAGAGGGUGACAGGCCACACUGGGACUGAGAUACGGCCCAGACUCCUACGGGAGGCAGCAGUGGGGAAUAUUGCACAAUGGGCGGAAGCCUGAUGCAGCAACGCCGCGUGCGGGAUGACGGCCUUCGGGUUGUAAACCGCUUCCGCCUGUGACGAAGCGUGAGUGACGGUAAUGGGUAAAGAAGCACCGGCUAACUACGUG
rnacentral:rRNA from 1 species